rnacentral:rRNA from 1 species
GAUGAACGCUGGCGGCGUGCCUAAUACAUGCAAGUCGAGCGAACAGAUGAGGAGCUUGCUCCUCUGACGUUAGCGGCGGACGGGUGAGUAACACGUGGAUAACCUACCUAUAAGACUGGGAUAACUUCGGGAAACCGGAGCUAAUACCGGAUAAUAUAUUGAACCGCAUGGUUCAAUAGUGAAAGACGGUUUUGCUGUCACUUAUAGAUGGAUCCGCGCCGCAUUAGCUAGUUGGUAAGGUAACGGCUUACCAAGGCAACGAUGCGUAGCCGACCUGAGAGGGUGAUCGGCCACACUGGAACUGAGAAACGGUCCAGACUCCUACGGGAGGAAGCAGUAGGGAAUCUUCCGCAAUGGGCGAAAGCCUGACGGAGCAACGCCGCGUGAGUGAUGAAGGUCUUCGGAUCGUAAAACUCUGUUAUUAGGGAAGAACAAAUGUGUAAGUAACUAUGCACGUCUUGACGGUACCUAAUCAGAAAGCCACGGCUAACUACGUG